rnacentral:lncRNA from 1 species
AGCCCUGACAGCCGUCCUCCGUCCUCCUCUGGGUACCAACUCUCUUACGCUGCGCACUGCCGUGCGUUUAACCCAGGCGAGGAGGAGGAGGAGAAAAUUCCCCCAGAUCCGGGCAGGCCCCGCACCCCACAUCCCGUCCUAUUUUGAGAGGAGGAGGGAAGAGAAAUAAACGUGGCAUCGCAUAUAAGGCUGCUUUCCAGACACCUCCAACCCAAACAGCCCUUCACCUCCGUUUAUUCAGUCCUGGAAAAGGAGUUCGGGAUGAAGCUUUAACUGAACUGAAGGAAAGAGAAACAGCCCUGAGUCUUUGGAGGUCUGUCUGA